GAGGACGCUUGGGGAGUGGACGUAGGUGCCUUGGGGUGCACCGAACCACUAUACAUCGUGGUGUUUGUGUUGUGGCUUCACUUGUGAUUAUUCUUGCAUUAUCUUUCAUCUUUGCUAUAGUUUAAUUCAUUGAAGUAAUUUAAGAAAGCAUCCACCGCACUCAACUAAGGAAGUUUUUUAAAGCACUAAAAAUUUGGAAAAACCCAAUUCACCCCCCCUCUUGGGUUGUCACCUUGGGCAACAUAGCUCUAUCGUGGCAUACACUCAAAAUUGCUUGAAAUAUGUUUCAUUGAUUAUAUGAAUUAGUCUAACCUUAAGAUGCAGGAAAGUGUGGAUUGAGUCGACCCCAAGCUAAGUGGAGUCGACCCUGGCACAC
rnacentral:lncRNA from 1 species